AAAAUUUCUGCAGAAUCUUCCAAAUUUUCCUUCUGCUUUCCCAAAAGCCACAAAUUUGUAGGAAUUUAUCCUUUGAUGCCUUUGGGAUUUGCUCAUUUCAAUCACCUAAGCACCCUUUUCCCUUUUAAAUAAUCCAAGAUUUUCAUAUUUUUAUCAUCUACAUAUUCAUAGAUAUAGUAUUUAUUAAAAAAGAUUCAAUUUUUCCAACACCCAUUUGGGAAUUGUUGUUGGUUUCAUCAUCAUGGGGUUUGUUGGUGAUGGUAGUUGUAGUAGUAGUGGUGGUGAUAAAGGAGGGUGCUUUAUUGGGGGUAUGAAAAGUCUUGUAAGAAGGAAGCAGGUUGAUUCUGCAAAUUCAAAAUCAUCUUCUACAUCUGGUUCUUCUCAUCAAUUAGCUAAAGCCUUAACUAUACCUCAUCUUAUUACUAUAGGGGUUGGUUCAACAAUAGGCGCUGGGGUGUAUAUUCUAGUCGGCACAGUUGCUAGAGAGCACUCAGGCCCGGCACUCACCAUUUCAUUUUUAAUAGCUGGAAUAGCAGCUGCUCUUUCUGCCUUUUGCUA
rnacentral:misc_RNA from 1 species